rnacentral:rRNA from 1 species
GUUAGGAAUAUUGGACAAUGGACGCAAGUCUGAUCCAGCCAUGCCGCGUGAGUGAUGAAGGCCUUCGGGUUGUAAAGCUCUUUAGCCGAUGAUUAUAAUGACUGUAGUCGGAAAAUAAGCCCCGGCUAACUUCGUGCCAGCAGCCGCGGUAAUACGAAGGGGGCGAGCGUUAUUCGGAAUCACUGGGCGUAAAGCGUGCGUAGGCGGUUUUGUAAGUUGGGAGUGAAAGCCCAGGGCUCAACCCUGGAAUUGCUCUCAAAACUACAAGACUUGAAUUCGGGAGAGGAUAGCGGAAUUGUCAGUGUAGCAGUGAAAUGCGUAGAUAUUGACAGGAACACCAGUGGCGUAAGCGGCUAUCUGGACGAGUAUUGACGCUGAGGCACGAAAGCGUGGGGAUCAAACAGGAUUAGAAACCCCGGUAGUCC